CUCGUCCUGCCCGAAGCGCCCUCAGGGCCGCGGCCUCGCGCAGCCUCCCUCGUGGGGGGCGGUUCCUGCAAAUGGGGUGACCUGAGAUUUGUUCUCCUGUUCCUUACAGAGCAGAAGCAAUCAAGCAGGCAGGGUCAGUACUCUUCCUCUUUAGGAUGGACGUCGUGCUUUCCCAAAAGUCUCCUGUGAACCUUGGAAUGGAUGUGAAUUCUGUGAGCUCUUCCCUCCGUCCACUAUGCCAGUUCACAGACCCCCUGCUUCUUCUUUUCAAUACAUGCAGACCAGUACUCCCUCUGUUAAAGGCUCACCUCAGGCCCACCUGCAUGGAAGAACUCUGGGAAGGCUUCAUAAGAGAAGCAUUUGCCCAGCUGGUAUCUUUUACCACCGCAUCCAAAACAUCUUGCCCACGUGUUAUCAGCUGCUUAGGACCUGGAUAGCAGACUAGUCCUUCCAUGGAGGAGAAAACACACAAGGAGGAACCCUGAGCACAUGUUUGGGAGCACACGAGAUUAUCCUGGAACUACUCGAUCACAUGGCUGAGCCCUUCUCAUUGAUUCUAGACCGAUGAAUAAACAAAAUAACAAGCAGACACAACCUUGGCCCAGAGGUGUAUGACUGCCUCCUUCUGUUGUUGUGAGCAUAUCUGGCAAAUGACCAACAAACACAGAAAUGAUUUUGCAGAUCUAAGACGGUGUGAAACAUCUGCAUGGCCUUAGGAAUGUUUCUGAAUCUCCUGAGCAUCAAUUGCCACCUCAGUGAAGUUGGGACAAUAGUAAUGCAAAGGCAAAAGAAAUGUGGCCAAAUCCUUGGGAGCAUAUGACUAAUGAGCCAUCUUCAAUGAAUUGUAAUGAUGUGAUCAUAUAUCCCCAGAGGGGUCACAGUUUAUGAAGUUCGCAAUAAAGUAUUUUCAGAGGCAAGAAAAGCUAUUUGAUUGGUAUGUACCAGACAAAAUACUUCAUAUUAGCAACAUUGCUCAUGAUUUUGGGUCAUUCAAUAAAAUGAAAAAACAAUUGGCUACAAUUACAACUUUUUUAUAUAUAUAUGGGAA